UAACGGCGAGUGAAGCGGCAAAGGCCCAAAUUUGAAAUCGCGCCCCUCCGGGGACCGAGUUGUAAUUUGCAGAGGGCGCUUCGGCGUUGGCGCCGGGACAAGUCCCUUGGAACAGGGCGCCUGAGAGGGUGAGAGCCCCGUCCCCGCCCGGGUCGCCUCCGCCGCCGGAAGCCCCUUCGACGAGUCGGGCUGUUUGGGAAUGCAGCUCCAAGCGGGAGGUAAAUUCCUUCUAAGGCUAAACACCGGCCGGAGACCGAUAGCGAACAAGUAGAGUGAUCGAAAGAUGAAAAGCACUUUGGAAAGAGAGUCAAACAGCACGUGAAAUUGUUGAAAGGGAAGCUCUUGCCGCCAGACCGGCCGCGGUCGUCGCAUCCACGCCCCCGCGCGUGGUGUACCCGUCCGCGGCAGGCCAGCGCCGGUUCGGGCGGUCGGACAAAGGCCCCGGGAAUGUGGCCCCGUCAUCGGGGUGUUAUAGCCCGGGGUGCAAUGCGGCCAGCCCGGACCGAGGCACGCGCUCGCUAGGGCGCUGGCGUAAUGGCCGCAAGCGACCCGUCUUGAAACACGGACCAAGGAGUCUAACGUCUGCGCGAGUGUUUGGGCGGACAAACCCAUGCGCGUAAUGAAAGUGAACGGAGGUGGGAACCCCCCAGAAAGGGGCGCACCAUCGACCGAUCCUGAUGUCUUCGGAUGGAUUUGAGUAAGAGCGUAGCCGUUACGACCCGAAAGAUGGUGAACUAUGCAUGGAUAGGGUGAAGCCAGAGGAAACUCUGGUGGAGGCUCGCAGCGGUUCUGACGUGCAAAUCGAUCGUCGAAUCUGUGUAUAGGGGCGAAAGACCAAUCGAACCAUCUAGUAGCUGGUUCCUGCCGAAGUUUCCCUCAGGAUAGCAGUAACGCCUCCAGUUUUAUGAGGUAAAGCGAAUGAUUAGAGGCCUUGGGGUUGAAACAACCUUAACCUAUUCUCAAACUUUAAAUAUGUAAGAAGCCCUUGUUGCUUAGGUGAACGUGGGCCUUCGAAUGUACCGUUACUAGUGGGCCAUUUUUGGUAAGCAGAACUGGCGAUGCGGGAUGAACCGAAAGCGGGGUUAAGGUGCCGGAGUGGACGCUCAUCAGACACCACAAAAGGUGUUGGUUCAUCUUGACAGCCGGACGGUGGCCAUGGAAGUCGGAACCCGCUAAGGAUCGUGUAACAACUCACCGGCCGAAUGAACCAGCCCUGAAAAUGGAUGGCGCUCAAGCGUCCCACCCACACCCCGCCGCCGGGGCGGAAGCGAAGCCCCGGCGAGUAGGCAGGCGCGGGGGUCCGGUGACGAAGCCCAGGGGGUGACCCCGGGCGGAACGGCCCCCGGUG
rnacentral:rRNA from 1 species